rnacentral:lncRNA from 13 species
UCCUUCCAAGUGAACAUGGAAUAGAUGGGGAGAAGCUAUACAUUACACAUCAGAGAGGUUCCCUCCAUGUGCCAUCUGUUUCCUUGCAAUUGGGAAUGGUAGAAUAAUUUUCUGAAGAAUGGCUGACAAGAUGUGACAGGGGAACAGUAAUCCAUAAGAACGAGAUUUCUCAUUAAAGUCACUCAGCUCAUCUGUGAUACAGCAAGCUCUUGAUUUACACUGGUCACCUCUGGAGCAGAGAGGACAGUGACUGGUAAGUUACAUUUUUUAUUGCACAGGCUUAUGGUGAGGUUCUUGACAGUAACUGGGAUUGCUGUCAGAUCAGUUCUCAUGGCACAGACACACUUAUCUAAGUGAGAUUAUUCUAGUUAGACAAUUUAUCAUAAUAACAGAUGUCAUCGUAGACGCCUCGACCUUAGUUACUUCGUGAUGUCUUAAUGUUGGCUGGCUGUUGUCAUAUCAUUCCUUAGGCUUUUGUUAGGAAGAGCAGGUGGACUGCACAAGGUCCCUCAUGAAUUAUAGCAGACCUCUCUUUUUGGCCUCUCAAAUUUCUUUUCUUUAUGUGCCUCCUGGUCUUCUCUCAUGAACAGAACCUUAGUGCAGAUCAAUGCUUCUGCUCUUGCUGAGCAGCCCUGUUUAUGACAUACUGGCAGAGCUGGACACGUCAGCCAGCUGAUAAUAGUUGCAACAGACAAAGGAAAUUGCUCUAGGACAAUUUAAAAAUUAAAUAUCUGCCAUAGAAGCUUGGCUGGGG